rnacentral:rRNA from 1 species
UACGUAGGGUGCGACGUGUCGGCAAUUACUGGGCGUAAAGAGCUCGUAGGCGGUUUGUCGCGUCGUCCGUGAAAACUUGGGGCUCAACCCCCAAGCUUGCGGGCGAUACGGGCAGACUUGAGUACUGCAGGGGAGACUGGAAUUCCUGGUGUAGCGGUGAAAUGCGCAGAUAUCAGGAGGAACACCGGUGGCGAAGGCGGGUCUCUGGGCAGUAACUGACGCUGAGGAGCGAAAGCGUGGGUAGCAAACAGG